rnacentral:rRNA from 1 species
AUUGAACGCUGGCGGCAGGCUUAACACAUGCAAGUCGAGCGGGGUGAUGGUGCUUGCACUAUCACUUAGCGGCGGACGGGUGAGUAAUGCUUAGGAAUCUGCCUAUUAGUGGGGGACAACAUCUCGAAAGGGAUGCUAAUACCGCAUACGUCCUACGGGAGAAUGCAGGGGAUCACUUGUGACCUUGCGCUAAUAGAUGAGCCUAAGUCGGAUGAGCUAGUUGGUGGGGUAAAGGCCUACCAAGGCGACGAUCUGUAGCGGGUCUGAGAGGAUGAUCCGCCACACUGGGACUGAGACACGGCCCAGACUCCUACGGGAGGCAGCAGUGGGGAAUAUUGGACAAUGGGGGGAACCCUGAUCCAGCCAUGCCGCGUGUGUGAAGAAGGCCUUAUGGUUGUAAAGCACUUUAAGCGAGGAGGAGGCUCUUUCGGUUAAUACCCAAGAUGAGUGGACGUUACUCGCAGAAUAAGCACCGGCUAACUCUGUGCCAGCCGCCGCGGUAA